GACGAACGCUGGCGGCGUGCUUAACACAUGCAAGUCGAGCGGUAAGGCCCUUCGGGGUACACGAGCGGCGAACGGGUGAGUAACACGUGAGCAAUCUGCCCUUCUCUUCGGAAUAACCAUUGGAAACGAUGGCUAAUGCCGAAUAUGACCCCGGAUCACAUGUUCUGGGGUGGAAAGCUCCGGCGGAGAAGGAUGAGCUCGCGGCCUAUCAGCUUGUUGGUGAGGUAAUGGCUCACCAAGGCAUUGACGGGUAGCCGGCCUGAGAGGGUGGCCGGCCACACUGGGACUGAGACACGGCCCAGACUCCUACGGGAGGCAGCAGUGGGGAAUAUUGGACAAUGGGCGAAAGCCUGAUCCAGCAACGCCGCGUGAGGGAUGACGGCCUUCGGGUUGUAAACCUCUUUCAGCAGGGACGAAGCGAAAGUGACGGUACCUGCAGAAGAAGGACCGGCCAACUACGUGCCAGCAGCCGCGGUAAUACGUAGGGUCCGAGCGUUGUCCGGAAUUAUUGGGCGUACAGGGCUCGUAGGCGGUUUGUCGCGUCGGGAGUGAAAACUCAGGGCUCAACCCUGAGCGUGCUUCCGAUACGGGCAGACUAGAGGUAUGCAGGGGAG
rnacentral:rRNA from 1 species